GACGAACCGUGCGAACGUUGUUCGGAAUCACUGGGCUUAAAGGGCGCGUAGGCGGCUUACCAAGUCCGGGGUGAAAGCUUUCGGCUCAACCGGAAAAGUGCCUUGGAUACUGGUAGGCUUGAGGGAGGUAGGGGCAUGCGGAACUUCCGGUGGAGCGGUGAAAUGCGUUGAGAUCGGAAGGAACGCCCGUGGCGAAAGCGAGCUCCUGGACGCCUGCUGACGCUGAGACGCGAAAGCCAGGGGAGCGAACGGG
rnacentral:rRNA from 1 species